GACGAACGCUGGCGGCGUGCCUAAUACAUGCAAGUCGAGCGCUGAAGGUUGGUACUUGUACCGACUGGGUGAGCAGCGAACGGGUGAGUAACGCGUGGGGAAUCUGCCUUGGAGCGUGGGACAACAUUUGGAAACGAAUGCUAAUACCGCAUAAGAACUUUAAACACAAGGUUUAAGUUUGAAAGAUGCAAUUGCAUCACUCAAAGAUGAUUCCGCGGUGGAUUAGCUAGUUGGGUAGGUAAAGGCUCACCAAGGCGAAGAUACAUAGCCGAGCUGAGAGGGUGGUCGGGUAAAAUGGGACUGAGAACACGGUCAAACUUCUAAGGGAGGCAGCAGUAGGGGAUCUUCGGAAAUGGAGCAAAGGCUGGCCGAGGAAAGCCGGGGGAGUGAAGGAGGGUUUCGGAUCGUAAAACCCUGUUAGUAGGGAAGAAAGGGGGGGAGAGUGGAACGUUGAUCAAGUGACGGUACCUACAGAGAAAGCGACGGCUAGCUACGUG
rnacentral:rRNA from 1 species